rnacentral:rRNA from 1 species
UACAGAGGGGGCAAGCGUUGUUCGGAAUUACUGGGCGUAAAGGGCGCGUAGGCGGCCCGCUAAGUCGAACGUGAAAUCCCCGAGCUCAACUCGGGAACUGCGUUCGAUACUGGCGGGCUUGAAUCCGGGAGAGGGAUGCGGAAUUCCAGGUGUAGCGGUGAAAUGCGUAGAUAUCUGGAGGAACACCGGUGGCGAAGGCGGCAUCCUGGACCGGCAUUGACGCUGAGGCGCGAAAGCUAGGGGAGCAAACGGG